rnacentral:lncRNA from 1 species
AUGAAGCUAACCUGUGAAGCAGGCAGACUGCAGGGAAUCUUAUCCUUACUUCUCCACCCCCGCCCUGCAAGAAGCCUUAUUGUUUGCAUUUGGCCCACCGCUUGGGAGCCAGCUGCAGGCGCCCGGAGCGGUUCAGGCAGAAGCCCGGGCUCCGUGGGGGAGGCCAGCGGGGCCCCUCCGAGGCUCCUAGCGGGGCCGGAGGGUGGGCCUUCGGAAGAGAACGCGCCGGCGCAGCCCGCGGCCUGCGGAGGUGAGUCGCGUGCCGGGCGUCUUCCGAGGAGCGGCGCGGCCUCGUGCAGGAAGUGGCGUCCGGAAGCCACCGAGCCGGGCGUCCGCGUGGGGGCCCCGGGCCCGCAGGUCCAGGGGGCCUGGUUCGGCUCCGCUCGGGUCCCGCGGCGGUGGGACCCACGUCCUCGGGAGCCACCAGGUCUUGGCCGAGCGGCAGCUCCGAGACAGAGCAUGACACUUGGAUUGAGAACAGCUAAGGACUUGUCAGAGAGCCACUGGGUCAGUCUUCAAGGAUUCAAAGUCGUACAGUCUGAUUGGAUGAGCGAAGAGACCAGUGCCUCUUUUCUAGGAUGGCAAAAUAUAGGAAGAACUGGGAUCUGGGUUCUUUCAGCUUGUGUAAUGGAAGAUGGUACUUGGAGGCACUGUGCCUUCAUAUACAAACCCGUGCCCAACAUCAUAGAGAAACAGGUGGAAGGAUAUUUCCUCAUAAGGUAA